ensembl:lncRNA
UUUUGCAAUCAGAGUGCUUAGUGCACAGCCAUCUUUGUAAGAAUAUCUUUGAGCAGAAAGAGUUUUUUCCACAGGAUAGAUUCCUAGAAGUGGCAUCAGUGGAUCAGCUCGCCAGGCUCCUCUGUCCAUGGGAUUCUCCAGGCAAGAACACUGCAGCGGGUUGCCGUGCCUCCUCCAGGGGAUCUUCAUGACCCAGGGAUCGAACCUGCAUCUCUUCUGUCUCCUGCAUUGACAGGCAGCAUCACGGUAUGCGGAGUGUGGUGUUUGCUGAGGCUGAUGUUAACUACAUUCCACAACGAUCUCCCAAAGGAGAGAGGGAGCCCCUGCUUCUGGGCCACAGGGCUGCAGGGCCUGCGGAGUCCUCAGGAGCUGCCAUGCUGUCCCCAGGGCCGGACAGAGCCAAGCUGCUCAGCCCCACUCCAAGUAGCCAGAGUCAGGUCGGCCUGCUCAGCUCCCUUGCAAAACUGGCCUCCAGUCUCUUCAGCACAUUCCCAGAUGACAACUUCAGGACUAGAUUCCCCAAACCAAAAUUAGGACAUGGGCUUGCUCAAAGGAUUCUUUCCAUGGCUGAAUGUAUUUAUUUGAGUGUUCUUAUUGCAGAAUAAAAAUGAACUCCACCAGAGGUUUAAUGAAUCAUUU